AAUCAACGCUGGCGGCGUGCCUCAGACAUGCAAGUCGAACGAUUAAAGCUCUCUUCGGAGAGUGUAUAGAGUGGCGCACGGGUGAGUAACACGUAAGUAAUCUACCUUCGAGUGGGGAAUAACGUCCGGAAACGGACGCUAAUACCGCAUAAUGCAGCGGCACCUAAUGGUGACAGUUGUUAAAGCGGGGGAUCGUAAGACCUCGCGUCUGAAGAGGAGCCUGCGGCGGAUUAGCUUGUUGGUAAGGUAAUGGCUUACCAAGGCGACGAUCCGUAACCGGCCUGAGAGGGCGGUCGGUCACACUGACACUGACAUACGGGUCAGACUCCUACGGGAGGCAGCAGUCGGGAAUUUUGGGCAAUGGGCGCAAGCCUGACCCAGCGACGUCGCGUUGGGGAAGAAGGCCUUCGGUU
rnacentral:rRNA from 1 species